rfam:Echinostoma caproni strain Egypt genome assembly, scaffold: ECPE_scaffold0000096
GAACUGCUGACGAGACCCAACCAGGUCCAAACAGCUGUCCAGUGC